rnacentral:rRNA from 1 species
CAGCCGCCACGGUAAAACGGAGGGUGCAAGCGUUAAUCGGAAUUACUGGGCGUAAAGCGCACGCAGGCGGUCUGACAAGUCAGAUGUGAAAUCCCCGGGCUUAACCUGGGAACUGCAUUUGAAACUGUUAGGCUGGAGUCUUGUAGAGGGGGGUAGAAUUCCAGGUGUAGCGGUGAAAUGCGUAGAGAUCUGGAGGAAUACCGGUGGCGAAGGCGGCCCCCUGGACAAAGACUGACGCUCAGGUGCGAAAGCGUGGGGAGCAAACAGGAUUAGAUACCCCAGUAGUCCCUGUCUCUUAUAU